CUACGGGUUGCUCCAGUGGGGAAUAUUGCACAAUGGAGGAAACUCUGAUGCAGCAACGCCGCGUGGAGGAUGACACUUUUCGGAGCGUAAACUCCUUUUAUAUAGGAAGAAGAUGAUGGUACUAUAUGAAUAAGCGCCGGCUAACUCCGUGCCAGCAGCCGCGGUAAUACGGAGGGCGCAAGCGUUACUCGGAAUCACUGGGCGUAAAGAGCGUGUAGGCGGAUUAAAAAGUCAGAAGUGAAAUCCUAUAGCUUAACUAUAGAACUGCUUCUGAAACUCUUAAUCUAGAAUAUGGGAGAGGUAGAUGGAAUUUCUGGUGUAGGGGUAAAAUCCGUAGAGAUCAGAAGGAAUACCGAUUGCGAAGGCGAUCUACUAGAACAUUAUUGACGCUGAGACGCGAAAGCGUGGGGAGCAAACAGGAUUAGAUACCCCUGUAGUC
rnacentral:rRNA from 1 species